ACGGGUGCGGAACACGUACACAACCUUCCUUCAAAUGGGGAAUAGCCCAGGGAAACUUGGAUUAAUACCCCGUAACAUUAUGAAGUGGCAUCACUUUAUAAUUAUAGCUCCGGCGUUUGGAGAUGGGUGUGCGGCUGAUUAGGUAGUUGGCGGGGUAACGGCCCACCAAGCCUGCGAUCAGUAACUGGUGUGAGAGCACGACCAGUCACACGGGCACUGAGACACGGGCCCGACUCCUACGGGAGGCAGCAGUAAGGAAUAUUGGGCAAUGGACGCAAGUCUGACCCAGCCAUGCCGCGUGGAGGAUGAAGGUCCUCUGGAUUGUAAACUUGUUUUCUCUGGGGCGAAAAACAGGUAUUCUUACUUGCUUGACAGUACCAGAGGAAUAAGCACCGGCUAACUCCGUGCCAGCAGCCGCGGUAAUACGGAGGGUGCAAGCGUUAUCCGGAUUCACUGGGUUUAAAGGGUGCGUAGGUGGGCAGGUAAGUCAGCGGUGAAAUCCCCGAGCUUAACUUGGGAACUGCCAUUGAUACUAUCUGUCUUGAAUACCUUGGAGGUGAGCGGAAUAUGUCAUGUAGCGGUG
rnacentral:rRNA from 1 species